rnacentral:rRNA from 1 species
ACGAACGCUGGCGGCGUGCUUAACACAUGCCUUUUGAACGAAGAGCGAUGGAAGCUUGCUUCUAUCAAUCUUACCGUCGAACGGGUGAGUAACGCGUAAUCAACCUGCCCUUCAGAGGGGGACAACAGUUGGAAACGACUGCUAAUACCGCAUACGAUCUAACCUCGGCAUCGAGGCUAGAUGAAAGGUGGCCUCUAUUUAUAAGCUAUCACUGAAGGAGGGGAUUGCGUCUGAUUAGCUAGUUGGA